UACGUAGGGCGCAAGCGUUGUCCGGAAUUAUUGGGCGUAAAGAGCUCGUAGGCGGUUUGUCGCGUCUGCUGUGAAAACUCGAGGCUCAACCUCGGGCUUGCAGUGGGUACGGGCAGACUAGAGUGCGGUAGGGGAGACUGGAAUUCCUGGUGUAGCGGUGAAAUGCGCAGAUAUCAGGAGGAACACCGGUGGCGAAGGCGGGUCUCUGGGCCGUAACUGACGCUGAGGAGCGAAAGCAUGGGGAGCGAACAGG
rnacentral:rRNA from 1 species